rnacentral:rRNA from 1 species
CUCAGGACGAACGCUGGCGGCGUGCCUAAUACAUGCAAGUCGAGCGGACCGACGGGAGCUUGCUCCCUUAGGUCAGCGGCGGACGGGUGAGUAACACGUGGGUAACCUGCCUGUAAGACUGGGAUAACUCCGGGAAACCGGGGCUAAUACCGGAUGCUUGAUUGAACCGCAUGGUUCAAUCAUAAAAGGUGGCUUUCAGCUACCACUUACAGAUGGACCCGCGGCGCAUUAGCUAGUUGGUGAGGUAACGGCUCACCAAGGCGACGAUGCGUAGCCGACCUGAGAGGGUGAUCGGCCACACUGGGACUGAGACACGGCCCAGACUCCUACGGGAGGCAGCAGUAGGGAAUCUUCCGCAAUGGACGAAAGUCCGACGGAGCAACGCCGCGUGAGUGAUGAAGGUUUUCGGAUCGUAAAACUCUGUUGUUAGGGAAGAACAAGUACCGUUCGAAUAGGGCGGCACCUUGACGGUACCUAACCAGAAAGCCACGGCUAACUACGUGCCAGCAGCCGCGGUAAUACGUAGGUGGCAAGCGUUGUCCGGAAUUAUUGGGCGUAAAGCGCGCGCAGGCGGUUUCUUAAGUCUGAUGUGAAAGCCCCCGGCUCAACCGGGGAGGGUCAUUGGAAACUGGGGAACUUGAGUGCAGAAGAGGAGAGUGGAAUUCCACGUGUAGCGGUGAAAUGCGUAGAGAUGUGGAGGAACACCAGUGGCGAAGGCGACUC